CAGACGGAGCGGCUACCAGAGGGGACGGCGGACCUCUGAGGCUAGCCCGUCCCGACAGAAGGGAGAAUUAUGGCAUCUCUCCCGGCCGCGAAAGGAGGACAUGUGUGAAUAAGGAAUCCAUACCACAAGGAAUACAGCAGAUCUGAAACAUCCCAGUAAUCAGAGAAAAUAGUUACAUAUCAAGGUGACACAUCUCUUCCUGGAAGAUCUUGCUUCUACAGACACUGCUACUGACUCGCCAAAGACUGUUUGUGAGAAGUGCCAGCCAGAGCAGACAUUACUAUUCAUCAGCCUAUGAACACACAAAUUCUCCUUUGCUGGAUUAUGUGGUACACCCAUCACCUGAGAAUUGGCUACAAAGUGGGCAAAACCAAAAAGGCACUUUAAUCACUGCUUGAGAAAAUUAGAUUACAGUUUACUUAAACUGAGACACCUUUUCUUUUAGACCAAUAUUCUAUUAUGCCUGUACAGGUGGGACUCUGUACUGUAAAUAAACAUUUAUUU